CUAUGGUUGCACAUGCAUGACCAUUUUACCGGCUCUUGUAAAUAUAUGAAUAUUAGUUUUAGGGUUUUGACAUGCUUAUCUUAAAUAUCACGAAUCAGACCAAACAUUCUGCCAGUAUCCUUUUGUUUAAAGUGUCCUAAUAUAACUUCUAACUAAAAAUAGUACAACAAGUGAUCUUGGCUUCCAUCGUUUUUUCGUGUAACUGUGCCUUUGCUGAAUUAUCUAAUUAAUGUUUAAACUCAGCUAUACCAAGCAGCUAGACAGUAUAUAGCUGACCUAUUUCACAGAUGAACAUGUUAAUAGAUGACUCGGGAAAGGCGGGAUUUAGAAGCAACAUCAUGGAGGUUGCAGGCUGGCCAGGGAUUUGGAGGCAGCAUCGUGGAGGUUGCAAGCCAGCCAUGGAUUUGGAUGCGGUGUCUAAGAUUUGGUUGGCAGUCUUGGCACAAGAGUUUGGAUAUCUAGGAGAUUCACCGACAGGCGACAGCGGCAACAACCACCUUUGGUCUUCGUGGACUCCAUCGCUGCCCCAGGCUAUGCAAUCCAGGAAGGUUGGAGAAGGAACUGCAAAUAAAUGACCACAAUAUAUGGUUGUCAUCCUCCCUUAACUCGGGUUUGUCUUUUUUUGCAUAUAUUGUGAUUUCACCAUAAGCCAGCUAUGUAAAUUCCCCAUAUCAAAAUAGCGUAGCCCUCGAGUUCACACUAUUUUUUGAAACUGUCAAUUCUAA